AAUGUGAAAAGAGGUUGCAACCAACAAGAGUAAUCAGCGGAGUCGGGUCACGACAUAGAAACUGAUGAAAGGGGCGGUUGCCGAAGCUGGACGAUUGACCAUCGCUUUGGCUGGGAUGUUGAUGAACAAUCAGCAAACUGUCGUGAUGAAAAAUUCAUCGCGGGGCGCUUACGACAU
rnacentral:ncRNA from 2 species